rnacentral:rRNA from 1 species
UACGUAGGGGGCAAGCGUUGUCCGGAAUUAUUGGGCGUAAAGGGCGCGUAGGUGGUUCUGUAUGUCUACCGUGAAAGCAUACAGCUCAACUGUAUUUUGUCGGUAGAAACUGCAGGACUUGAGGCUGGGAGGGGCUGGUGGAAUUCCCUGUGUAGCGGUGAAAUGCGUAGAGAUGGGGGAGAACACUCGUGGCGAAGGCGGCCAGCUAGACCAGUUCUGACACUGAGGCGCGACAGCGUGGGGAGCAAACAG